AGCAGAUUUGGUGUGUGGUGAGAACCAGCAUCCUGGCUUGCAGAUGACUGUCUUCUUGCUGUGUCCUCACGUGGUGGAAAAAGGUCAGACCAAGAGCUGCAAAUGAAACAGAUAUCCAUGAGUUCGGGUGUUUAAGAAACAAGCUAGAAGAGUCUACCAAGAAGAUUCCUGGGGUACAAUGCUGAGUGCGCCCCAACUAAAGUGCACAGAGAUUGCCGUCGCCAGAGUUAUCAUCAUUUUCAUCAUGGUCACCAUUUAUUGAAAGCUCGCUGUCUACUUGGCACUGCAUUAAGAGGAGGAAAAACUAUGAUGGUCAUAGAUGCAAGAACCAAACCAAACCUUGGAAGCACAUUUAUGGCCUCUGCUCACACCAAGUCCUUAUCAUUCCAUUGGCCCAAGCAAGUUAUAUGGCGAAGUCCAACAUCCAUAAGUAACUGCUGGGAGCCCACGACUAGAACAGCCAUCAACUGCAAAUGAAGGAACAGCUCAGCUGAUGUCAGAACGGAGUCUUUAAGGUCGUCUCUAUUACUUCCUCCAAGCACUUCACACCCAGCCUCCUGGAAGGGCUGCUCCAUCAGCCCAGCCCCUGAAAUCACGUUGCAUCUAUAUUCUUGGCAAAGAUCUUCAGACACAAUGUCACCCAGACCUUCUCAUCUACCCUGUGCAUGGUGAGCUACUCUAAUAGUAAGGAGUCAGGCAUCACCACGGGAUGGGGUGGAAGCUCUCAGUGGACCCUCCCAACAGCCUGUAAGCCUAACACGGGGAUACCUGCCACUCAGAGACCCAGCCCUGCCAAGAA